rnacentral:rRNA from 1 species
AUGCAAGUCGAGGGACAGCGAGAUGUAGCAAUACGUCGUCGGCGACCGGCGAAUGGGUGAGUAACACGUAUGCAACUUACUUCUUAGUGGUGAAUAACCCGAUGAAAGUCGGACUAAUACACCAUACUCUCCUUAGAUCACAUGAGAAGAGGAGGAAAGAUUAAUCGCUAAGAGAUAGGCCUGCGUUCCAUUAGCUCGUUGGUAAGGUAACGGCUUACCAAGGCAACGAUGGAUAGGGGGACUGAGAGGUUGACCCCCCACAUUGACACUGAGAUACGGGUCAAACUCCUACGGGAGGCAGCAGUGAGGAAUAUUGGUCAAUGGGCGAGAGCCUGAACCAGCCAAGUCGCGUGAAGGAAGACUGCCCGCAAGGGUUGUAAACUUCUUUUGUAUGGGAUUAAAGUCACCUACGUGUAGGUGUUUGCAGUUACCAUACGAAUAAGCAUCGGCUAACUCCGUGCCAGCAGCCGCGGUAAUACGGAGGAUGCGAGCGUUAUCCGGAAUUAUUGGGUUUAAAGGGUGCGUAGGUUGCAAGGGAAGUCAGGGGUGAAAAGCUGUAGCUCAACUAUGGUCUUGCCUUUGAAACUCUCUAGCUAGAGUGUACUGGAGGUACGUGGAACGUGUGGUGUAGCGGUGAAAUGCAUAGAUAUCACACAGAACUCCGAUUGCGCAGGCAGCGUACUACAUUACAACUGACACUGAAGCACGAAAGCGUGGGUAUCAAACAGGAUUAGAUACCCUGGUAGUCCACGCAGUAAACGAUGAAUACUAGAUCUAUGCGAUAUACAGUAUGGGUCUAAGCGAAAGCGAUAAGUAUUCCACCUGGGGAGUACGCCGGCAACGGUGAAACUCAAAGAGAUUGGCGGGGGUCCGCACAAGCGGAG